CUCUACUUUUGAGGACACAAUUACCCUUGCACUCUCUUUUCUAUUUUGCAAGGAAGGUUGUUGUUAUGGUGCAAAGGCAAGCACAUGCACACACCCUCAGCUAUAUUAUGUGUCACCAGUGAGUCAAAGCUUUUCACGUGCCACAGGUUGCAGUUGCACAUAUACAGACUCACACGCUUUAGUUUCCUCAAGAUAUUUGUUUCUUAUCUCUAUAAAAACAAGGUUGGUCCUCACCGUAGAACACACCUCGAUCGUAUCGGUGGUCACUCAGAAUCAGGGUAUCACUGGCCUCAGGGACCAGAAGGUUUCUAAGGUGACAGUUCAACCAAGAUCGAAGCGUGUUCAGAUGGAGUAUUGGUGUGUGGAUCCAUGCUAUGCUUUGUCAAGUGAGUAGUCUUUUUGCGGAUUAACCUUUGCUUCGUUGUCUGUUCGACCUUGAACAUAUUAACCAGUCAGUUAAUUAACACUAUAGUCAGGAAAACCCUAAUCGAAAUCACUUUUUGUUUUGUAUUAUUUAUAGAAAGUGAACCAGUUUUUGGUUCCUACGCUUAUGAAUUUUCCCUAUAGAUGAAGUGAGUGUGAUUAGUAUCAUCAGCUUACAACUUUUUGGGGUUCGAGCUGAUAGCCCAAUGGUACUGACACCUCUCUGGUGCAAGGUGUCUAGGGUUCGAAUCCUUGAUGAUUAGCAGCAUGACCAGAGUAAAUAGUUCUGAUAUGCAUGUAUAUGCGUGAGACUAAAUAUAUGUAUUUUAUGUGUUACUGUUUCUUAGGUGAUUAGACACGCUUUGUAUGACUUACAGCUGCACUAGAAAUUAGUAAUAUUGUAAUUAAGGAAUACAAGGGGUUUAAUUACUUUGUUAAUAAUAAUAGAUAAUUCAUAUUUCCAAUGAUUUCAAUAUUUAGGAACAUACUUCUGUUAUUGGAUCAAUCAAAAUCAUAUAUAGAUUUUGAUAAAUGGGAGAAUAAGCUGCUGAUUCCCUUCUUGUAAUCAGAACAUUCAGAUGUUUUUGGAUAUCCAGAUUUGGCUGUGGUAGAAUAUCUAUGGAAACAGUUUUAGGUUUCGAUCCAUAUUAGUUGGAGGGUUAUGGGUUAAUAUUAGUGAUAUGGUGCAAAGCAAUCAAGGCAGUUUAAGGCAAGAAACUAGUAGCUCCAUCAUAGAAUAUUUAUGGUUAUCUAAUCUAUGGCACCUAUAUAUAAAUAUAUAUAUAUAUAUAUAUGUAUAUAUAUAUGUAUAUAUAUCAUAUGUACAUAAUUAAUCGUUUUAUCGACCAUAUUGUCUUAUCUAAUAUAUAUUUUGUAGUAAUAAAUGAAGGGUUAACAAGUAGUAGGUAUGGUAGAUAAAAAUGUGUGAACCGCAUAUUGAGUAGUAGGAAGGGUUGAAACCAAUCACGUGUUAGUGAUUUUACAUGGGUCUAUAGGAUAGCAAACCAUAAAAGAGAAAACCUAGGUACCUGCCCUAAUUUAAAAGAGAAAUCCUUUAUUCUUUUUAGUACACAAAGUUUGGAGGAAGAGUGUCAAUGAAGUUAGUUUAUAGGCAUUAAUCCCAAGGCUUACCUAAAUGAUUUGUUAGUAAACUCUAGGCUUUAAUUAGAGGAAUUCAUUUGUUGGCCUUGUGAACUUCUUUCUUAUUUCUAAAAAGGUGUAUAAGAGCAAUAAUGAGGAGUGUCUCUCUCUUCUCUUUUGUUCGUUUUACUAGGUUAAAACUUAAUAUCCAUUCAUCCAAAAAGACAAAAAGCAUUGAGUACUUUCAAGACUUAUCUUAUUUGGUAGGUUGAUUUUUCUAAAGGUCAUAUACAUUCUCAGUGGUAAAUAGAAUACGAUUACACAUGCAAAAUAUAUAAAAUCUCACUCUCUGUCUCUUACAUCAAUAUGUACAACAGAGAGAGACGAAUGUGGUUUGACUAGGUAGCAGAACCUCUGGCUGGUAGUAAAUGUGGAACUUCUAUGUGGGUGGAUACUAGCUCAUAACCCACCAGAAGAGUUGAAGGACAGACCAGUUGACCGAACACACGAGUACACACACCUUCCCUCUUCCACCUAAGAAAUAAAUAGAGAGCAAUAUUAUGUAUAGUUGUAUACCGUGCAACUAAUUUUCAUUAACUAUUUAGAGUGGAAACUUUUAA